CAAUAGCGUAUAUUAAAGUUGUUGCGGUUAAAAAGCUCGUAGUUGGAUUUCUGCUGAGGACGAUCGGUCCGCCCUCUGGGUGAGUAUCUGGCUCGGCCUUGGCAUCUUCUUGGGAGAACGUUGCUGCACUUGACUGUGUGGCGCGGUAUCCAGGACUUUUACUUUGAGGAAAUUAGAGUGUUUCAAGCAGGCGCACGCCUUGAAUACAUUAGCAUGGAAUAAUAAGAUAGGACCUCGGUUCUAUUUUGUUGGUUCUAGAGCUGAGGUAAUGAUUAAUAAGGAUAGUUGGGGGUAUUCGUAUUUAACUGUCAGAGGUGAAAUUCUUGGAUUUUUUAAAGACGAACAAUUGCGAAGGCAUCUACCCAGGAUGUUUUUGUUGAUCAAGAACGAAGUUAGGGGAUCGAAGACGAUUAGAU
rnacentral:rRNA from 1 species